UGCAGUCGACGAUGAAGCCCAGCUUGCUGGGUGGAUUAGUGGCGAACGGGUGAGUAACACGUGAGUAACCUGCCCUUAACUCUGGGAUAAGCCUGGGAAACUGGGUCUAAUACCGGAUAGGAGCGCCUACCGCAUGGUGGGUGUUGGAAAGAUUUAUCGGUUUUGGAUGGACUCGCGGCCUAUCAGCUUGUUGGUGAGGUAAUGGCUCACCAAGGCGACGACGGGUAGCCGGCCUGAGAGGGUGACCGGCCACACUGGGACUGAGACACGGCCCAGACUCCUACGGGAGGCAGCAGUGGGGAAUAUUGCACAAUGGGCGCAAGCCUGAUGCAGCGACGCCGCGUGAGGGAUGACGGCCUUCGGGUUGUAAACCUCUUUCAGUAGGGAAGAAGCGAAAGUGACGGUACCUGCAGAAGAAGCACCGGCUAACUACGUGCCAGCAGCCGCGGUAAUACGUAGGGUGCGAGCGUUAUCCGGAAUUAUUGGGCGUAAAGAGCUCGUAGGCGGUUUGUCGCGUCUGUCGUGAAAGUCCGGGGCUUAACCCCGGAUCUGCGGUGGGUACGGGCAGACUAGAGUGCAGUAGGGGAGACUGGAAUUCCUGGUGUAGCGGUGGAAUGCGCAGAUAUCAGGAGGAACACCGAUGGCGAAGGCAGGUCUCUGGGCUGUAACUGACGCUGAGGAGCGAAAGCAUGGGGAGCGAACAGGAUUAGAUACCCUGGUAGUCCAUGCCGUAAACGUUGGGCACUAGGU
rnacentral:rRNA from 1 species